rnacentral:rRNA from 1 species
CCUACGGGAGGCAGCAGUAGGGAAUCUUCCGCAAUGGACGAAAGUCUGACGGAGCAACGCCGCGUGAGCGAUGAAGGCCUUCGGGUCGUAAAGCUCUGUUGUCAGAGAAGAACAAGUACCGGAGUAACUGCCGGUACCUUGACGGUACCUGACCAGAAAGCCACGGCUAACUACGUGCCAGCAGCCGCGGUAAUACGUAGGUGGCAAGCGUUGUCCGGAAUUAUUGGGCGUAAAGCGCGCGCAGGCGGUUCCUUAAGUCUGAUGUGAAAGCCCCCGGCUCAACCGGGGAGGGUCAUUGGAAACUGGGGAACUUGAGUGCAGAAGAGGAGAGCGGAAUUCCACGUGUAGCGGUGAAAUGCGUAGAGAUGUGGAGGAACACCAGUGGCGAAGGCGGCUCUCUGGUCUGUAACUGACGCUGAGGCGCGAAAGCGUGGGGAGCGAACAGGAUUAGAUACCCUGGUAGUCCACGCCGUAAACGAUGAGUGCUAAGUGUUAGAGGGUUUCCGCCCUUUAGUGCUGCAGCAAACGCAUUAAGCACUCCGCCUGGGGAGUACGGCCGCAAGGCUGAAACUCAAAGGAAUUGACGG